AUACGGAGGGUGCGAGCGUUAAUCGGAAUUACUGGGCGUAAAGCGCGCGUAGGCGGCUAAGUAAGUCGGAUGUGAAAGCCCUGGGCUCAACCUGGGAAUUGCAUUCGAUACUGCUUGGCUAGAGUAUGGUAGAGGGUAGUGGAAUUCCUGGUGUAGCGGUGAAAUGCGUAGAUAUCAGGAGGAACAUCAGUGGCGAAGGCGGCUACCUGGACCAAUACUGACGCUAAGGUGCGAAAGCGUGGGGAGCAAACAGGAUUAGAAACCCCGGUAGUCC
rnacentral:rRNA from 1 species